CUGAAAAUGUUGGCGACCAAAGGCCGGAUUCAGGGACGUGUGCUGCUUGUGCUACUCGCGUUACGUGGGCAAACUGCUCGCUGUCAUCAUCGAUACAAAGGCUCUGCGACCCGUGAAGAACUGAGACUCCUUCUGGUCGGUAAAACAGGCUCGAGAAAGAGUGCGUCCGGAAACACCAUCCUGG